rnacentral:rRNA from 1 species
UACGGAGGGUGCAAGCGUUGUUCGGAAUUACUGGGCGUAAAGGGCGCGUAGGCGGACUCGAAAGUCUGAUGUGAAAGCCCGGGGCUCAACCCCGGAAGUGCAUUGGAAACUUCAAGUCUUGAGUUCGGGAGAGGAAAGCAGAAUUCCCGGUGUAGGGGUGAAAUCCGUAGAGAUCGGGAGGAAAACCAGUGGCGAAGGCGGCUUUCUGGAACGAAACUGACGUUGAGGCGCGAAAGCGUGGGGAGCAAACAGG